rnacentral:rRNA from 1 species
GCGAAGCAGGCAUAGCUCAAAUUUGUAAUCUGGCGCCUUUGGCGUCCGAGUUGUAUUUUCUAGAAGCGAGUUCGGCGACAGCUCCUACCCAAGUCCGUUGGAACGCGGCGUCAUGGAGGGUGAGAAUCCCGUGAAUGGUAGGAUGUCUGCUGCUAUGUGAACCGCCUUCGAAGAGUCGAGUUGUUUGGGAAUGCAGCUCUAAAUGGGAGGUAAAUUUCUUCUAAAGCUAAAUAUUGGCCAGAGACCGAUAGCGAACAAGUAGAGUGAUCGAAAGAUGAAAAGAACUUUGAAAAGAGAGUUAAACAGUACGUGAAAUUGUUGAAAGGGAAGCGCUUGAGAUCAGACUUCCUGUCUGGACUGUCCUUGCUUUUGCUUGGGUCAACAGUCCAGGCGUGGAGGCCAGCAUCAGUUUUGACGGCCGGAUAAAGGCCUUGGGAAGGUAGCUCCCCUCGGGGAGUGUUAUAGCCCAGGGUGUAAUACGGCCAGUUGGGACUGAGGACCGCGGCUCUGCCUAGGAUGCUGGCGUAAUGGUCUUAAGCGACCCGUCU